GAUGAACGCUGGCGGCGUGCCUAACACAUGCAAGUCGAACGGAGUUACUAGAGGAAGCUCUUCGGAGUGGAACCUUGUAACUUAGUGGCGGACGGGUGAGUAACGCGUGAGCAAUCUGCCUUUAAGAGGGGGAUAACAGUCGGAAACGACUGCUAAUACCGCAUAAUGUAUCGAGGUCACAUGAUUUUGAUACCAAAGGAGCAAUCCGCUUUUAGAUGAGCUCGCGUCUGAUUAGCUAGUUGGUAAGGUAAUGGCUUACCAAGGCGACGAUCAGUAGCCGGACUGAGAGGUUGAACGGCCACAUUGGGACUGAGACACGGCCCAGACUCCUACGGGAGGCAGCAGUGGGGAAUAUUGCGCAAUGGGGGAAACCCUGACGCAGCAACGCCGCGUGAUUGAAGAAGGCCUUCGGGUUGUAAAGAUCUUUAAUUAGGGACGAAAAAAAUGACGGUACCUAAAGAAUAAGCUCCGGCUAACUACGUGCCAGCCGCCGCCGUAACAC
rnacentral:rRNA from 1 species